rnacentral:rRNA from 1 species
UACAGAGACCUCAAGCGUUAUCCGGAAUCAUUGGGCGUAAAGCGUACCGAUAGGUGGUCAAGAAAGCCACAAGUGAAAUCUCCGAGCUCAACUCGGAAUCUGUCUUUUGGAACUUCUCGACUAGAGGGGCGAAGAGGAAGCUGGAACGAACGGUGUAGUAGUGAAAUGCGUUGAUAUCGUUCGGAACACCAAUAGCGUAGGCAGGCUUCUGGGUGCCACCUGACACUGCUAGGACGAAAGCGUGGGGAGCGAAUGGG